rnacentral:lncRNA from 1 species
CAGUUAUUUUACAGUUCUUGUUUUCUCUCGGGUUCUGGAGUUCUCUUUGCUCGAAGAUGGUGAGACCUCCUAUAGGCCGUCGAGAUCCCGUCGCCGAUCGCGUCACCAACAACAUGCGGAUAAGGCGUGCGAUCGAGGAGCUGAGAAUUCAAGAGGAGCAGCAAAUUCCAACUACUUGUCCAACCUGUGGUCAAGUGUGGUACCGUUACCUAUGCGUGAUCAUAGAGGAGUUAUUGCAGGCCCAGCGCACUCAGUAUGAGUGAUUUGUAGUUACUGCUGAAAUAUAAGCC